AUUGAACGCUGGCGGAAUGCUUUACACAUGCAAGUCGAACGAUGAACCUUAGCUUGCUAGGGGGAUUAGUGGCGAACGGGUGAGUAACAUAUCGGAACGUACCUAGUAAUGGGGGAUAACUAGUCGAAAGAUUAGCUAAUACCGCAUACGCCCUGAGGGGGAAAGUAGGGGAUCUUCGGACCUUACGUUAUUAGAGCGGCCGAUAUCUGAUUAGCUAGUUGGUGGGGUAAAGGCCUACCAAGGCGACGAUCAGUAGCUGGUCUGAGAGGACGACCAGCCACACUGGAACUGAGACACGGUCCAGACUCCUACGGGAGGCAGCAGUGGGGAAUUUUGGACAAUGGGGGCAACCCUGAUCCAGCCAUUCCGCGUGAGUGAAGAAGGCCUUCGGGUUGUAAAGCUCUUUCGCAAGGGAAGAAAACUUACAUUCUGAUAAAGUGUGAGGCUGACGGUACCUUGAUAAGAAGCACCGGCUAACUACGUGCCAGCAGCCGCCGCGG
rnacentral:rRNA from 1 species